AGUGAACGCUGGCGGUAGGCCUAACACAUGCAAGUCGAACGGCAGCACAGUAAGAGCUUGCUCUUACGGGUGGCGAGUGGCGGACGGGUGAGGAAUACAUCGGAAUCUACUUUUUCGUGGGGGAUAACGUAGGGAAACUUACGCUAAUACCGCAUACGACCUACGGGUGAAAGCAGGGGAUCUUCGGACCUUGCGCGAUUGGAUGAGCCGAUGUCGGAUUAGCUAGUUGGCGGGGUAAAGGCCCACCAAGGCGACGAUCCGUAGCUGGUCUGAGAGGAUGAUCAGCCACACUGGAACUGAGACACGGUCCAGACUCCUACGGGAGGCAGCAGUGGGGAAUAUUGGACAAUGGGCGCAAGCCUGAUCCAGCCAUACCGCGUGAGUGAAGAAGGCCUUCGGGUUGUAAAGCCCUUUUGUUGGGAAAGAAAAGCAGCAGGUUAAUACCCCGCUGUUCUGACGGUACCCAAAGAAUAAGCACCGGCUAACUUCGUG
rnacentral:rRNA from 1 species